rnacentral:tRNA from 1 species
UGUAGCUUAGUGGUACAGCACUUGCUUAGCAUGCAGGAGAGCCUGGGUUCCAUCCCCAGCA